GGAGGAGAGAUAUAGCAGCUGAGUCAGGGUGGGAGGUGGAGGGCAGGUUACUUAGAGCAUCUAAGGCCACUGUAAUUUUACUUUUCUUCUGAGAUAGACAUCUAUUGGAAGGAUUUAAGCAGAUGAUUUAACGUGAGGAACUCUGAGGUUGAUUUGAGUUUCUAAUAAAAAGAAAGAGGGAAAUCAUUCCACAAUGUAUAAUUUACUACCAUCGGUCUCACCCACAUACUCAUUUAUUUUUGAGACUUCAGGUUUUUAAGCAUUGCAGAUUCAUCAGGGGAGGAAUGACUAGUGGGCUGAAUAUGUUGUGUGAAUAACAAUACCAGUUUGGCAGGAAGAUAACACCUUCUGUAUCCUUAACUGGAUUCAGUAAUACACAGGAAUGUGUACACAUGAGGAAAAGAAGGUGAAUCGAUCUGUGUGGUGAUAUUUUUUAAAGUAUAUGCUUUAGAGUUAAAUAUUAUUAAUGGUUUAAUAAUAAGGUGAUUUGUAAAAUCAGUAACAAAAAUAACAUCAGGUAGCUGUGAGACAGCUUCAAUGAAAACGAGAUGAUGUCUUAAACAAACAAUCAGCAACAAAAGCUUUGCUGGAUGCUUCAUCGCGUCACUGCAUCUAUUUAGAAAAUGAGAUGCAGGAUUCAAGGAAGAAAUUAGACCAGAUGAGAAGUCAAGCUUGAAGUAGAAAAUGCCAUGAUGAGAAAAACGAUUAAAAAACAGGAUGACCAAAUUGAGCGGCUUGAGAAAAUCCUGCAGC
rnacentral:lncRNA from 1 species